GAGGAAAGCUGAGUAAAAGUUGCUGUGAUCGAGUGAACCAAUGGCUCGACUUGAGGACAAGUCGUUCUAAAGAAGGGGGAAUGAUACGACCCUGCCCCGAAAACAUCAUUGGCUCAGUUCAUCAGGCGCUAUUCGUAAACUUUUGCAAGCUAAACUAGCUUGUUCCGGCUCAAUGGAGCUCAAUCAAGCUGAUUCUAGCUCAUUGAGCUUGAACUUCAAUUUAUUUAAUUUUAUGCUUUUAGUUUGCUGGAAUAAAUUUUAUUUAAGUUCAGCUCGUUUUUAACUUUCUUAAGUUUACAUUAUUUUGCUGGAAUAAAACAAAUAAGUUGCUGAUUAGUUAAUUAAAAUAAGUUAAUUAAUUUGUUUAAAAAUCA
rnacentral:lncRNA from 1 species